rnacentral:misc_RNA from 1 species
CUCGAGUUUUUCAACUCUAAACCAUUUGUGAACUACCUUCUGGACUGCUUGGCAGGGUCCUUCGGGGAUUUGCGGUAGCAUUACAACCAACUCUUUAUAUUUCUAGAGAAUUAUUCAUUGCUGAGUGGCAUUUAACUAAAUAAGUUUA